CGUUCUUCGAUUCGCCUGCAAGGCGCAAAGAUGACCCCAGCCCAUCGAUCAAAGAAUACGUUCACCGCACGUGAUGUGUACCUAUUCUAGGCACUUGUGCAGAAAAACGUCAACGGGACACUUUCGAGGCUUUUUGUAUCAAGAGAAGCGGAGAGCGUUGUGUCAGAAUGGCUUCACGAUUGCUUCAAUAAAAUGAGUUGAAGUGUCUCUCAAAAACACGAUUCAGCAUGUUUCAGCGAUAGCUGCUCAUUGAUGCUUUCACGGAUUGUAUUUUCUAUGUAUGUAUUGACGUGUAAACACAAUAAAACUUGAUUGUUGGUAAGC